rnacentral:rRNA from 1 species
AUGAACGAUGUUGGCUUGCAGCACCCUGUUGUUGAUGAGACCAGUCAUAAUGUUGAGGCUGAUGUUGACCGUGGAGUUAAUGAUCCAUCCACUGAUAAGUGCAAGGGUGCUAUUGUUGGCGAUGAGCCUUGUUUGCCUGUUGGUGAUGUUGCUUUGAAUGUUAGCAGCAGCAAGUUCGAUGAUGUUGCAGCGAAUGCUUCCAAGAUUACUGAUGUUGAACAUGGGGUUGUCCUUAGUGGUGGAGAUGAUGCUCGUGAUGUUCCAUUGAGUAGUGGGCCCAAUGUUGGUUCCAAAGUUGCUGAUGAGGAUGCUGGUGCUGCCAGCAUACUUGAUUCCAAAUCGCCUGGUGUUGGUAUUGCUGGGAAUGAAAAUGUUUCUGGUUGUGAAGAUUUGCCGCCGGAGAAUUUGCCGCCUGGAGGUCUUGAUUACGGUGAUGCAUUGCAAGAUGCUUCUAGCGUGGAGGAGGUUCCAUCUGAGGAUGAUGAUUUACUUCUAUCAAUUUCUUCUGACCCCUUGACGCAGGAGGCGCUCUUGUCGUCCCAGGAUUUUCUUUCUAUAGACCCUAAAAGUGCAGCAAUAUUGGUGUCCUCUCAAGAUGUCCCAUCGUCAAACCUUGAAACUGGAGGCAUAAUGGUCUCAUCACAGGAACUACCAUCAUCGUCAAAACCUAAUAGUCCAGAAAGUGAUAAUGUUGUUAAGGUUGAUACAUUUUUGUUCGCUGUUACGAGGUUGCGCAUGAACCGUACUAAAUGUCACAAGCCGAUGUUUCAAAAUAAAGAAUGUGAUGCCAGUGUUGGUUCUAUUGCUAAAGCGUUUGUCCCCACUGGCAUGCUCAACUCAGACAGUGCUGAUGUUGUUUUAUAUUCUCUACGUCAGAGGUACCGAGACACUGACAAGUUGAUAGUUCCCAGAUGGACCAAGAUCCGUGAUGGAAAUAUUGAUUCCAAUGUGUUAAAUUGGUCCACGAGAUCAGGUGCUGAUGGUUUCGACCAAUGGGGUGAUGCAGUUAGAUUCUUAAGGAAUAUGACAGAUAAUAUAAAGAAGCUUUGA